GAUGAACGCUGGCGGCGUGCUUAACACAUGCAAGUCGAACGAUGAAGCCCAACUUGCUGGGUGGAUUCGUUGCGAACGGGUGAGUAACACGUGAGUAACCUGCCCUUGACUCUUUGAUACGCGCUGUCAACGGCGUCCAAUACCUGAUACGAGCUUCCACCGCAUGGUGAGUUCCUGGAAACAUUUUCGGUCAAGGAUUGACUGGCGGCCUAUCAGGUGUUUAGUGAGGUAACGGCUCACCAAGCCGACGCCGGAUAGCCGGCAUGAGAGGGUGACCAGCCACAAUGGGACUGAGGCACGGCCCAGACUCGUACGGGAGACAGCAGUGGGGAAUAUUGCACAAUGGGCGCAAGCCUGAUGCGGCAGCGUCGCGGGAGGGACGAAGGCCUUCGGGUCGUAAACAGCUUUAAGCAGGGAAGAAGCGAAAGUGACGGUACCUGCAGAAAAAGCACCGGCUAACUACGUG
rnacentral:rRNA from 1 species